AGCGAACGCUGGCGGCAGGCCUAACACAUGCAAGUCGAACGAACCUUUCGGGGUUAGUGGCGGACGGGUGAGUAACACGUGGGAACGUGCCUUUAGGUUCGGAAUAACUCAGGGAAACUUGUGCUAAUACCGAAUGUGCCCUUCGGGGGAAAGAUUUAUCGCCUUUAGAGCGGCCCGCGUCUGAUUAGCUAGUUGGUUGAGGUAAUGGCUCACCAAGGCGACGAUCAGUAGCUGGUCUGAGAGGAUGAUCAGCCACAUUGGGACUGAGACACGGCCCAAAAUCCUACGGGAGGGAGCAGUGGGGAAUCUUGCGCAAUAGGCGAAAGCCUGACGCAGCCAUGCCGCGUGAAUGAUGAAGGUCUUAGGAUUGUAAAAUUCUUUCACCGGGGACGAUAAUGACGGUACCCGGAGAAGAAGCCCCGGCUAACUUCGUG
rnacentral:rRNA from 1 species